rnacentral:tRNA from 1 species
GGAAAGUUGUUCAUUGGUAGAACAAUUGCCUAGUGUGCACAAGGCCAUGGGUUCAAUUCCCAGCAUCA